rnacentral:rRNA from 1 species
GACGAACGCUGGCGGCGUGCCUAAUACAUGCCAGUCGAACGCUUCUUUCCUCCUGAGUGCUUGCACUCGAUUGGAAAGAGGAGUGGCGGACGGGUGAGUAACACGUGUGUAACCUACCCAUCAGAGGGGGAUAACACUUGGAAACAGGUGCUAAUACCGCAUAACAGUUUAUGCCGCAUGGCAUAAGAGUGAAAGGCGCUUUCGGGUGUCGCUGAUGGAUGGUCGCGCGGUGCAUUAGCUAGUUGGUGGGGUAACGGUCUACCAAGGCGACGAUGGAUAGGCGAAGUGAGAGGGUGAUCGGCGACACGGGAACUGAGACACGGCCAAGACUACUGCGGGAGGCAGCAGUAGGGAAUCUGCGGCAAUGGACGAAAGUCUGACCGAGCGACGCCGCGUGAGUGGAGAAGGCUUUCGGAUCGUAAAACUCUGUUGUUAGAGAAGAACAAGGACGUUAGUAACUGAACGUCCCCUGACGGUAUCUAACCAGAAAGCCACGGCUAACUACGUG